rnacentral:rRNA from 1 species
GACGAACGCUGGCGGCGUGCUUAACACAUGCAAGUGGAGCGACGAACCAGGCUUCGGCCUGGGGCAGAGCCGCGAACGGGUGAGUAACACGUGGGUAACCUGCCCCGAUGACUGGGACAACCCGGGGAAACCCGGGCUAAUACCGGAUGUGUACCCGACGCACAAGCGUCGGGUGGAAAGGAAGCUUCGGCCUCCGCAUCGGGAUGGGCCCGCGGCCCAUUAGCUUGUUGGUGAGGUAACGGCUCACCAAGGCUUCGAUGGGUAGCUGGUCUGAGAGGACGAUCAGCCACACUGGGACUGAGACACGGCCCAGACUCCUACGGGAGGCAGCAGUGGGGAAUCUUGCGCAAUGCGCGAAAGCGUGACGCAGCAACGCCGCGUGGGGGAAGAAGGCCUUCGGGUUGUAAACCCCUUUCAGGAGGGACGAAGGUUGGGCGGUUAAUAGCCGUCCCAACUGACGGUACCUCCACAAGAAGCCCCGGCUAACUACGUGCCAGCCGCCGCAGUAACAC